GUGCACGCUGGCGGUAGGCCUAACACAUGCAAGUCGAACGGCAGCACAGUAAGAGCUUGCUCUUACGGGUGGCGAGUGGCGGACGGGUGAGGAAUACAUCGGAAUCUACUUUUUCGUGGGGGAUAACGUAGGGAAACUUACGCUAAUACCGCAUACGACCUACGGGUGAAAGCAGGGGAUCUUCGGACCUUGCGCGAUUGAAUGAGCCGAUGUCGGAUUAGCUAGUUGGCGGGGUAAGGGCCCACCAAGGCGACGAUCCGUAGCUGGUCUGAGAGGAUGAUCAGCCACACUGGAACUGAGACACGGUCCAGACUCCUACGGGAGGCAGCAGUGGGGAAUAUUGGACAAUGGGCGCAAGCCUGAUCCAGCCAUACCGCGUGGGUGAAGAAGGCCUUCGGGUUGUAAAGCCCUUUUGUUGGGAAAGAAAAGCAGCAGGUUAAUACCCCGCUGUUCUGACGGUACCCAAAGAAUAAGCACCGGCUAACUUCGUG
rnacentral:rRNA from 1 species